CACUCAUCAAGACCAGCCGAGGGAUUAGGCCCUUUGACGCUGGGGCAACCAUCGGGUCUCACAACUCGAAACGGUGCCAACUCCUGCGAGAUCCUUCGGGAUCGCGAGAGAUGAGUG
rnacentral:ncRNA from 1 species